AAAUAGAUACCCGGGUAGUCCACGCCGUAAACGAUGAGUGCUAAGUGUUAGAGGGUUUCCGCCCUUUAGUGCUGCAGCUAACGCAUUAAGCACUCCGCCUGGGGAGUACGGUCGCAAGACUGAAACUCAAAGGAAUUGACGGGGGCCCGCACAAGCGGUGGAGCAUGUGGUUUAAUUCGAAGCAACGCGAAGAACCUUACCAGGUCUUGACAUCCUCUGACAACUCUAGAGAUAGAGUGUUCCCCUUCGGGGGUACAGAGUGACAGGUGGUGCAUGGUUGUCGUCAGCUCGUGUCGUGAGAUGUUGGGUUAAGUCCCGCAACGAGCGCAACCCUUGAUCUUAGUUGCCAGCAUUUAGUUGGGCACUCUAAGGUGACUGCCGGUGACAAACCGGAGGAAGGUGGGGAUGACGUCAAAUCAUCAUGCCCCUUAUGACCUGGGGCUACACACGUGCUACAAUGGAUGGUACAAAGGGCUGCAAGACCGCGAGGUCAAGCCAAUCCCAUAAAACCAUUCUCAGUUCGGAUUGUAGG
rnacentral:rRNA from 1 species